GUAAUGAGGGGUUUGAGGAGUAGCUGGAUGGUAUUACAGUAAUGAGGGGUUUGAGGGGUAGCUGGAUGGUAAUAUGGUAACGAGGGUGUUGAGGAGUAGCUGGAUGGUAAUAUGGUAACGAGGGGGUUGAGGAGGAUCUGGAUGGUAAUAUGGUAAGGAGGGGGUUGAGGAGUAGCUGGAUGGAUGGUAAUAUUGUAACAAGGGGGUUGAGGAGUAGCUGGAUGGUAAUAUGGUAAUGAGGGGGUUGAGGAGUAGCUGGAUGGUAAUAUGGUAAUGGGGGGUUGAGGAGUAGCUGGAUGGUAAAAAGGUAAUGAGGGGUUUGAGGAGUAGCUGGAUGGUAUUACAGUAAUGAGGGGUUUGAGGGGUAGCUGGAUGGUAAUAUGGUAACGAGGGGGUUGAGGAGUAGCUGGAUGGUAAUAUGGUAACGAGGGGGUUGAGGAGUAGCUGGAUGGUAAUAUGGUAUUAAAAGGGUUGAGGAGUAGCUAGAUGGUAAUAUGGUAACGAGGGGGUUGAGGAGUAACUGGAUGGUAAUAUGGUAAUGGGGGGGUUGAGGAGUAGCUGGAUGGUAAAAAGGUAAUGAGGGGUUUGAGGCGUAGCUGGAUGUUAUUACAGUAAUGAGGGGUUUGAGGGGUAGCUGGAUGGUAAUAUGGUAACGAGGGGGUUGAGGAGUAGCUGGAUAGUAAUAUGGUAACGAGGGGGUUGAGGUGUAGCUGGAUGGUAAUAUGGUAAUAAAAGUGUUGAGGAGUAGCUGGAUGGUAAUAUGGUAACGAGGGGGUUGAGGAGUAGCUGGAUGGUAAUAUGGUAAUGGGGGUUGAGGAGUAGCUGGAUUGUAAUAAGGUAAUGAGGGGUUGAGGAGUAGCUGGAUGGUAAUAUGGUAAUAAAAGGGUUGAGGAGUAGCUGGGUGGUAAUAUGGUAAUGGGGGGGUUGAGGAGUAGCUGGAUGGUAAUAAGGUAAUGAGGGGUUUGAGGAGUAGCUGGAUGGUAUAAUAGUAGUGAGGGG
ensembl:lncRNA